CCCGCACAAGCGGUGGAGCAUGUGGUUUAAUUCGAUGCAACGCGAAGAACCUUACCAGGUCUUGACAUCCCCUGCAAAGCUAUGGAGACAUAGUGGAGGUUAUCAGGGAGACAGGUGGUGCAUGGUUGUCGUCAGCUCGUGUCGUGAGAUGUUGGGUUAAGUCCCGCAACGAGCGCAACCCUUAUUGCUAGUUACCAUCAUUAAGUUGGGGACUCUAGCGAGACUGCCAGUGAUAAACUGGAGGAAGGUGGGGAUGACGUCAAAUCAUCAUGCCCCUUAUGACCUGGGCUACAAACGUGAUACAAUGGCUGAAACAAAGGGCAGCGAAGGAGCGAUCUGGAGCGAAACCCAAAAAAGCAGUCUCAGUUCGGAUUGAAGUCUGCAACUCGACUUCAUGAAGUCGGAAUCGCUAGUAAUCGCGGAUCAGAACGCCGCGGUGAAUACGUUCUCGGGGUUU
rnacentral:rRNA from 1 species